CUCAAAUCUCAAACAGUCCUAUUGUAUUAUUGCGGAAGACAUAAAUAUUGCAUAGUUCUCUCAAAUGUUUCCACUAUACUAAUUUCAUUGAUCACCUCACAAAAAUAUUUCAAAAAAUAGUUGACUUUUUGUGACCAAAGUUUGACCGACAUAAUAAAUUUCUUGUUUUGUUUGAGUUGUUUCCACCUUUUUUGAAAAAAAAAAAUAGAAAAAAUCAAAAGAAACCACACAAACAAACACAACUCACUUUCCUAUACCUUCAAAAACAAAAAACCGUACCUUUCUCCCUCUUUUACCCUUCUUCUUCUUCCUUUUAUCUCUGCAACUCCAAAAUCAAAUUCCCAGAAAAUCAAAAUGAACCAAAACAAUAACACCAUGAAAAACUCUUCAAACUCAUAUAAUAAACCCCAUGAAAAUCACCUCUUUCGCUUAAUAAAAUCCACUUUACUUCUCUCUCUCCUCUUAUUUAUUUCCAUUUUUGCCCUCACCGCCUUACUCACCACCCUCCCUCCUUCCUCAACUCGCAUAUUCUCCUCUCUCUCCGCCGUCAUCCCUUCUUCUUCUUUUUAUUCAUCACAUUAUUCCUGUAAUUUAUCGAGCCCGGACCCUGGCCCGACCCGGCUGACCCAUAUAAUGUUCGGGCUUGGUGGGUCUGCCAAGACAUGGGAGGCUCGACGAGAGUACUCCCAGCUAUGGUGGAACCCCAACACUACUCGUGGGUUUGUCUGGUUGGAUGAUCAUCCUCCUAAGACCACCCCGGGAAGCUUUCCUCCGUACCGGGUUUCGAGUCGGGCCGAAUUCCAAUUCGGCCCGAAUCGAAAUGACCAUUCGAACUCCGAUCGAAUGGCCCGGAUACUGAAGGAAAGCUUCGAUGUCGGGUUGCCUGGGGUGAGGUGGUUCGUGAUGGGGGACGACGACACCGUGUUCUUCACGGACAACCUCGUGAAGGUGCUGUCAAAGUACGAUCACCGCGAAAUGUACUACAUCGGGAGCUCCAGUGAGAGCGUUGAGCAAGAUGUGAUGCAUGGGUAUGGAACUGCGUUUGGUGGGGGUGGUUUUGCGGUGAGUUAUGGUUUAGCUUGUGAAUUGGUGAGGAUUUUGGAUGGGUGUAUUAAGAGAUAUCAUAAUUUUUAUGGGUCUGAUGAGAAAGUUUCUGCUUGUGUUGCUGAGCUUGGUGUUCCUCUAACUAAAGAACCUGGCUUUCAUCAGCUUGACAUUAGAGGAGACGUCUAUGGUCUUCUAGCUGCACAUCCUGUGGCUCCCUUGGUGUCACUACACCAUCUUCUUGGUGCAAAGCCCUUGUUUCCUGGUGAAAAUCAGUUGGACUCUCUAAAAAGGCUGUUGCAUGCGUACCAUGCUGACCCUGAUCUUACCAUUCAGCAGAGUUUCUGCUAUGAUCACAGCCGUAAAUGGUCGGUAUCCAUAUCGUGGGGCUAUACCGUGCAGUUAUAUCCUUCCCUUAUUCCAUCCAAGGUCCUCAGUAUACCUCUGCAGACAUUUCGUACCUGGCGCAGUUCUAGUGAUGGACCUUUUGUGUUCAAUACCCGUCCCAUGAAGGAUGAUCCUUGUGAGAGGCCUAUCAUUUAUUUCCUGGACCAAGUUAAGGAGGUUGGUGAAGGUGAAACUGUAAGUACUUAUAAGAGGGCUACUGCUGCUGAUGGAAAAGAAUGUGAGCAAUCAGCUUACAAGAAUGCAAUUUCAGUGGAUAAUAUAACAAUUUCUGCUUCAAAGACGGGCCCUGAGAAGUGGAUGAAGGCACCACGAAGGGAGUGCUGCCAGAUUAGAAACAGCCCGACUGUGUACAGUAAUAUGCGAAUAAUGAUUAGAAGCUGUAAGCCGAGGGAAACUAUCACUAUGUGAAGGCUGAAUGGUUUUUCCACUUAGUUAAAGAUAUGAUUGUAUGAAAUGCAAUCAUGACAUGCGAAUGGAGAUACUAAAUUCGAAUCUGGAUGACUGCCUUCCUGCAACAGUAAUGUGGAGGUUCGGCUCUAUUUAAGGCUGCACCGAAGUUUAUAAAUAGAAGAGGAAAAGGAAGGAGCACUCUCCUCCACUUUAUCUUUUUUCUUUUCUUAUACUAGGAGUAGAUUAGAGUUAGUUUAUGUACACUAAUACUCCACACAGAUGCUAUUUUUUCUCUGCUUAGAAGAUCGUCUGUGUAGGUAUGUAAAUGUAACCCUUCAUGUUCGCCUUCGGCGACGUCAGCCUACAAUGAACUAUACAGAACACAGCCUUGAGUCCUUAGACAGUUGACAUCUUUGUAAUAUUAUCUUUCUGAAGUAAUAAAGCUGUUAAUUAUCUUGUGGAAGUUUUUUGAUGUUUA